CCUACGGGAGGCAGCAGUGGGGAAUAUUGGGCAAUGGGCGCAAGCCUGACCCAGCAACGCCGCGUGAAGGAAGAAGGCUUUCGGGUUGUAAACUUCUUUUCUCAGGGACGAAGAAAGUGACGGUACCUGAGGAAUAAGCCACGGCUAACUACGUGCCAGCAGCCGCGGUAAUACGUAGGUGGCAAGCGUUAUCCGGAUUUACUGGGUGUAAAGGGCGUGUAGGCGGGGAAGCAAGUCAGAUGCGAAAACCACGGGCUCAACCUGGGGCCUGCAGUUGAAACUGUUUUUCUUGAGUGCUGGAGAGGCAGAUGGAAUUCCUAGUGUAGCGGUGAAAUGCGCAGAUAUUAGGAGGAACACCAGUGGCGAAGGCGGUCUGCUGGACAGCAACUGACGCUGAGGCGCGAAAGCGUGGGGAGCAAACAGGAUUAGAUACCCGAGUAGUC
rnacentral:rRNA from 1 species